rnacentral:misc_RNA from 1 species
AACUCUUCUUGUCAUGGCCAUUCGAGCUGUAGGAGCCAUGCCUUAUCAAGGUUGAAUAAAACGAGAAUUUAUAAGUUCGGCAGAGCCAAUUGAGAAGACUCACUUUCUGUGCUGUUCAUGUACUAUCUGAGCGGCUGAUUUUGCAGCCAUUUCCCGCUUUGGUUUCAAAAGAAUGCCACUAGGUUCUUUUUUUACUUCAAUCUUGAUCUCAUGUUCUUGCUUUGG